GGGCUCAGUGGUAGAGCACCUGUUCUGCAUGCAGAAGGUCCCAGGUUCAAUCCCUGGCCUCA
rnacentral:tRNA from 1 species